rnacentral:lncRNA from 1 species
GCAGCGGCAGCGGGGCUACCGACAGCGGGGCCGGGAGGGGAACCGGGAGGGGAACCGGGGUCACCGACAGCGGGGCCGGGAGGGGAACCGGGGUUACCGACCGCGGGGCCGGGCCACGGGGACCGGGAGCGGAACCGGGAGCGGAACCAGGAGCGGAACCGGGGUUAUGGACACCUCGUCUGGGUCACCGGCACCGAGAGCAGAACCAGGAGCGGAACCGGGAGGGGAACCAGGAGCGGGACCAGGGUCACCAACAGCGGGUCUGGGUCACCGGCACCGAGAGCGGAACCAGGAGCGGAACCGGGAGCAGAACCGGGAGCGGCACCGGGGUUACCAACACCGGGUCUGGGUCACCGGCACCGGGAGCGGAACCGGGAGCGGCACCGGGGUUACCAACACCGGGUCUGGGUCACCGGCACCGAGAGCGGAGCCGGGAGCGGGACCAGGAGCGGAACCGGGAGCGGAACCGGGGUUACCGACAGCGGAGCUGGGCCACAGGGACCGCGAGCAGAACCAGGAGGGGAACCGGGGUUACUGACACUGGGCCACCGGCACCGAGAGCGGAACCGGGAGGGGAACCGGGAGGGGAACCGGGGUUACCGACAGCGGGGCCGGGCCACCAGCACCGAGAGUGGAACCAGGAGGGGAACCGGGAGCAGGACCAGGGUCACCGACACCGGGUCUGGGUCAGCGGCACCGAGAGCGGAACCGGGAGCGGAACCGGGAGCGGAACCGGGGUUAUGGACACCUCGUCUGGGUCAGCGGCACCGAGAGCGGAACCGGGAGCGGGACCGGCACUGGGACUGGGUAAAGAACACCUGCUCCGGGUCCCGGUACCGGCUCAGGGUCACCAGGACCGAGUCACCGGUACCGGCUCAGGGUCACCUGCUGCGGGUCACCGGUACCGGGGCAGCGCCACCAGCCCUGGGUCACCGGGCCCGGUUCUGGCUCGCCAGCACCUGCUCCAGGCCACCGACACCGCUCCGGGACAGCCGGUACCGGCUCCGGGCCACCGACACCGCCGGUUCACCGGCAACAGCUCCCGAUCCCGGCCCGGUACCGAUCCCGCUGUCCCGGUACCGAUCCCGGCCCGGUACCGAUCCCGGCCCGGUACCGAUCCCGCUGCCUCGGUACCGAUCCCGGCCCGGUACCGAUCCCGCUGCCUCGGUACCGAUCCCGGCCCGGUACCGAUCCCGGCCCGGUACCGAUCCCGCUGCCCCGGUACCGAUCCCGCUGCCUCGGUACCGAUCCCGGCCCGGUACCGAUCCCGGCCCGGUACCGAUCCCGCUGCCCCGGUACCGAUCCCGCUGGCUCCGAACGCGCUGGUCCCGGCCCGGACGCCCCGACAGCGGCCCCGGUGCCGGUGCCGGUGCCGAUCCCGGGCCGGCCGGGGGUGGUUCCGGGCCGAUCCCGGGACAGGCUGUUCCGGUGCCGGUGCCGGUUCCGAUCC